rnacentral:rRNA from 1 species
GUAGGUGGCAAGCGUUGUCCGGAAUUAUUGGGGCGUAAAGCGCGCGCAGGCGGUUCUUUAAGUCUGAUGUGAAAGCCCACGGGCUCAACUGUGGAGGGUCAUUGGAAACUGGAGAACUUGAGUACAGAAGAGGAAAGCGGAAUUCCACGUGUAGCGGUGAAAUGCGUAGAGAUGUGGAGGAACACCAGUGGCGAAGGCGGCUUUCUGGUCUGUAACUGACGCUGAGGCGCGAAAGCGUGGGGAGCAAACAGGAUUAGAUACCCUGGUAGUCCACGCCGUAAACGAUGAGUGCUAAGUGUUAGGGGGUUUCCGCCCCUUAGUGCUGCAGCUAACGCAUUAAGCACUCCGCCUGGGGAGUACGGCCGCAAAGGCUG